rnacentral:rRNA from 1 species
UACGUAGGGUGCAAGCGUUGUCCGGAAUUAUUGGGCGUAAAGAGCUCGUAGGCGGUUUGUCGCGUCUGCUGUGAAAACUCGGGGCUUAACUCCGGGCCUGCAGUGGGUACGGGCAGACUAGAGUGCGGUAGGGGAGACUGGAAUUCCUGGUGUAGCGGUGGAAUGCGCAGAUAUCAGGAGGAACACCGGUGGCGAAGGCGGAUCUCUGGGCCAUAACUGACGCUGAGGAGCGAAAGCAUGGGGAGCGAACAGG